GGAUGGUUAUCUCAACUGGAAGAGAGCUCGCCUUACACGCGAGAGGUUAGAAGUUCAAGUCUUCUACUAUCCA
rnacentral:tRNA from 1 species